rnacentral:rRNA from 1 species
AGCCGUAACCAUUUGGAGCUAGCCGUCGAAGGUGGGACAAAUGAUUGGGGUGAAGUCGUAACAAGGUAGCCGUAUCGGAAGGUGCGGCUGGAUCACCUCCUUU